rnacentral:rRNA from 1 species
GUGAACGCUGGCGGUAGGCCUAACACAUGCAAGUCGAACGGCAGCACAGUAAGAGCUUGCUCUUCCGGGUGGCGAGUGGCGGACGGGUGAGGAAUACAUCGGAAUCUACUUUUUCGUGGGGGAUAACGUAGGGAAACUUACGCUAAUACCGCAUACGACCUACGGGUGAAAGCAGGGGAUCUUCGGACCUUGCGCGAUUGGAUGAGCCGAUGUCGGAUUAGCUAGUUGGCGGGGUAAAGGCCCACCAAGGCGACGAUCCGUAGCUGGCCUGAGAGGAUGAUCAGCCACACUGGAACUGAGACACGGUCCAGACUCCUACGGGAGGCAGCAGUGGGGAAUAUUGGACAAUGGGCGCAAGCCUGAUCCAGCCAUACCGCGUGGGUGAAGAAGGCCUUCGGGUUGUAAAGCCCUUUUGUUGGGAAAGAAAAGCAGCAGGUUAAUACCCCGCUGUUCCGACGGUACCCAAAGAAUAAGCACCGGCUAACUUCGUG